rnacentral:rRNA from 1 species
AGAGUUUGAUCAUGGCUCAGAAUCAACGCUGGCGGCGCGCUUAACACAUGCAAGUCGCACGAGAAAGUGGAGCAAUCCAUGAGUAAAGUGGCGUACGGGUGAGUAACACGUGGAUCAUCUACCUCUUGGUGGGGAAUAACCCUGGGAAACCGGGGCUAAUACCGCAUAAGCCUGCAAAGGGAAAGCAGCAAUGCGCCGAGAGAGGAGUCCGCGGCCGAUUAGCUUGUUGGUAGGGUAAUGGCCUACCAAGGCAAUGAUCGGUAGCCGGCCUGAGAGGGCACACGGCCACACUGGCACUGAAACACGGGCCAGACUCCUACGGGAGGCAGCAGUGGGGAAUCUUGCACAAUGGGGGCAACCCUGAUGCAGCGACGCCGCGUGAGCGAUGAAGCCCUUCGGGGUGUAAAGCUCUUUCGGCAGGAACGAUAAUGACGGUACCUGCAGAAGAAGCUGCGGCUAACUACGUGCCAGCAGCCGCGGUAAUACGUAGGCAGCAAGCGUUGUUCGGAGUUACUGGGCGUAAAGAGUGUGUAGGCGGUUCUCUAAGUUCCGUGUGAAAUCUCCCGGCUCAACUGGGAGGGUGCGCGGAAAACUGGAGGGCUUGAGUAUGGGAGAGGAAAGCGGAAUUCCUGGUGUAGCGGUGAAAUGCGUAGAUAUCAGGAGGAACACCUGCGGUGUAGACAGCUUUCUGGACCAUCACUGACGCUGAGACACGAAAGCGUGGGUAGCAAACAGGAUUAGAUACCCUAGUAGUCC